rnacentral:lncRNA from 1 species
GGGAAAGCUGGCCGCACCGCUUUGUGGUUCACAAGUCUUUAUAAAUAGCAGUGCCUUUCAGAGGGGAGGAUGGGAGACAAAGAAGUUCAUUGUAUUUAGACUGACUGAUAUUGCAGCAUUUUUUCUUUAAAAUAUCUUUUAAAUGAAACCAUCUGAACAUAGGGUGAGCCCAGGAAUUCUUGAGUUUCAACCUCAGCUGUUCCUGAUUCGUCCUUUCUUACAGAAAGUCUGUUUUUUUCUGCCCCAAAUAUCCCCAUUGUGAAAAUGGGAGUUGGGGGAAGGAGGGAGGAAUUAAUCUUAUAGGAAUGUGGGGAAAAUACCUUAGUUGGGAUGUCUAGAAAAUACUUUGAUUUUUUUAAAAGUGCUACACACUGCCAGUGCUAAGAAUUUUAUUGAUGGUAACUUUGAACAUUCCAAGAUUUCAAUAUUCAUGUCUUUAGAUACCAUUUACAAACUUAUGAGAUUAAAUUCUGUAAAUUGAUUUUAAUUGGAAGUACUAGGUGCUCUUUGUCUGAAUGUUAUUUGAUCUUAGCCUGUAAUUUCGAUCAUUUAAAAGCUUAUUUACAGAAAAAGGUUAGGAGAGCUGAUGAAGUGUUUGUCAAUAAACUGUUUUCUCGAGUAUGUCUUAUGGCAGAAGCACAGAGUAAGAUGCCCUCCAAAGCAACCAUGACUCUCUUCUCAAGCUUUAUGCUCUAGAAAAAUUGACAGAGAAAAGCCCAAACAGCCACUUUCCUCACUGGGAGGGCAGAGAUGAGAAUAAAAUAUUUUCUGAUAUCACAACUCAUUUCUUUAGAAUCUCACAGGUUUCUAUAAUAAGAGGCAAAUUAAAUGCACA